UACGUGUACUACGUAGAUGCAAGUGAGAAAGCAAAAGGGAAAGCAAAGUGUUCUCUUCCUCCAGAUUACCUCAGAUCCUACUUCAAUUUCUUAUUCUAAAUUCUCUCUAAUGCCGCUAUCUAACUGUCGACCUUCAUCCCAAUGUACACAAGUACUGUUCAGACAAUUACAACCCAUCGUUGUUGUAUAUCGAAGUUUUCAAUGGUUGAUUAGAUGCAAGUUUAAUAAGAUGCAAGACAGUUUAAGUGCUGAUCGACUUGAGUGGAUGGUGAUCUUUCUAAAAUCAAAAGGGCCAUGUUCGUCCACAUCUUCAUUAUCUGCAAUCUCCAGUAACUGGGGGCAAUGAGCAUCAACUCAGGCUCUAUCGUUUAUAAUCUUCAUCACUGCGAAAGCAUUUUGGAGAUUUUCGAAUUACUCCUUUCUUACAGCAAUUCGAAUUUCGAAAGACCAUCGCGUAAUAACGAAGGUGCAAAAUCUCUGUUGGAAAAGUCUUGAUCAUCUGCUGGUGACACAGAAUGUGCAUCUUCAUUGAUCAGAAUUUGGGUAGCCUCAUACAAACUGGACAGCUUGACUAAUCCAUCUAAACAAAAGUGGCAAUAACGAUGAAAAACAACCAAGAAACAAAAUAUGAAAUGAGGCUUACCUCGUUGUGUGACACAACUUCGCAGCACUUGAUGCUGUUACUCACAUUGCGGUCUGGCACUAUGUAUGUACGCACACAUCUCUGUUUGAUAGCA